GCCUGGUUAGCUCAGCUGGUUAGAGCGUGGUGCUGAUAACACCAAGGUCGAGGGUUCAGAUCCCUGCACUGGCCA